AGAACCCUGGGGAAAACUCCUCUGACAUAACUCGAACAGACUCCCAGGUUCCUCUGUGUUAUCAGUGGUCUGAGGAGCAACGUUAGGAAACUGACAAAAACAGUCUAAACGCCAGUCCUUCGUUCGCUUCCUUCAAGUGAGGCUUUCUUUCCCAGCGGCGUUACUGGAGCGCAUGGUUUAUUGCUUAAUGCCUUCCUGUUCUCCCUGGAAAAUUGGAGUCAGUGUCUCAUGCCUCAUGAUCACACCAGACCAUGCGGGCUUAAACCGCAUUGUACAAUUUCCUUUGUCUCCCCCUCCUUCUCUGUAAUUUUUUUUUGUUAUGGGCAGUGACAGUUUCUGGUUUCUUUUGUUUAUCAACGGUUUCCUUUACCACAGCCUCUAUUCCUCCUGCUGGAAGCCUGGCACGAUUGGAAGCUGGAAGGAAAACCACAACUGAAUAGCCUGGCACUUACUAUAACAGUCAUUUCCAACCACAGAUUAAUACUGUUACUGGAUUUGACUAACGGCUCUUAAUCAGCCCAACUGUCAUCACUCGAGAACAUGCUUGCCAGUGAAAGAUGAAAGGAAAUAUAAGCACAUCCAAAGCAUGGUACAGUUUUACUGACAUCUCAUCUUAUGUAUCCAAAGAGGAAGGAAUAAUGAUGUAGGGAAUGGCGGAGGCAGCUGCCACUGCUGGGAGACAAUUCUGCAUGCCCAUUACGUGUCUACACAUCUUGGAAGCUGAGGCAUUGCCUGCGCUUGUUCUGACCAACCUUAGAAGACGCAGCAUCUCUCUUUGGAACACAAGUCACCUAGCUCGGAGUCCAGCACUGCCAGUGACCAGAGGUGGGAUCACAGGGCAAGACACUUGGGAGGAUUAAACCGAGUGAUGUGUGUCAAGUGCUCAGGACAGAACACAAGGAUUUAAAAUAAGCUCUGUCAACAAGUGUGAGCUGUGCUAGACAUGUUAAGAAUUCCAAAAAUGACUAAGAUGCAGUCCUACCCAGAAGCACAGAAUUACCGGAGUGGGAAUCAAUCUUGGAUGUUACCUACUCCAACACUUUAGAACCUUUUUCCAGACUGUCCACAGAAGAGGACCCUGGGGCUGAGUGGACUCCAGAGAAAGGCACUGGAUGGAAGGAAGGCUGAGAGCACACCUGCCUGGUUUUGUGCGGCAUCCCAUCACUCCUGCAGCCAGAGCGGUCUGCGGGGGCACAGAGACGUGGCCGAGAGCAGCACUGUGAGACGGGCCGAGCCAGAACGCGGUGGGGCACGGAGAAGGAACAACACAGCAGGCUUCUUCCUUACGAGGCGGUUUCAAAGUUUGGCUCUUGAAGAUGGGGGUGGGGGUGGGGACGGAGGACAAGAGGACAAGGGUUUCUAAGGAAGCCAACAUGAAGGUUUGCUUUGGGCCAGGAGGGAGAACAAUUUCACCAAUAAAGCCAUCCUGGCAAAUGAUCUAUGUGCCAAGGCCAGAAUAAAGCAGGGGACUUUUUAGAAAGGUCUUAAGGGCCAAGGAUCCUACACUAGUUUUGCCAAGGUUUUGAAAAAGGGUGUAAUAAUUUACCUAAGUACACAAGCUGAUGAGAAAUAGGGAAGCAGGGUGGCAGGUGCAACUAUGAAAGGAGGCCUGCAUGUGGUGCAUGCCUGUGGCA